CAGUAGCCGCGGUAAUACAGAGGGUGCGAGCGUUAAUCGGAUUUACUGGGCGUAAAGCGUGCGUAGGCGGCUUUUUAAGUCGGAUGUGAAAUCCCUGAGCUUAACUUAGGAAUUGCAUUCGAUACUGGGAAGCUAGAGUAUGGGAGAGGAUGGUAGAAUUCCAGGUGUAGCGGUGAAAUGCGUAGAGAUCUGGAGGAAUACCGAUGGCGAAGGCAGCCAUCUGGCCUAAUACUGACGCUGAGGUACGAAAGCAUGGGGAGCAAACAGGAUUAGAUACCCGAGUAGUCCCUGUCUCUUAUAU
rnacentral:rRNA from 1 species